AAGACAGCUUUCUGAGUUGUAAACUGCUUUUAUAUGGGAAGAAAAAGGCCUUGCGAGGCAAAUUGCCGGUACCAUAUGAAUAAGCACCGGCUAACUCCGUGCCAGCAGCCGCGGUAAUACGGAGGGUGCAAGCGUUGUCCGGAUUUAUUGGGUUUAAAGGGUGCGUAGGCGGAUCUUUAAGUCAGUGGUGAAAUCCUGCAGCUUAACUGUAGAACUGCCAUUGAUACUGGAGAUCUUGAGUAUSCUAGAGGUAGGCGGAAUUUAUGGUGUAGCGGUWAAAUGCAUAGAUACCAUAAAGRACACCAAUAGCGUAGGCAGCUUSCUGGAGUAUAACUGACGCUGAGGCACGAAAGCAUGGGUAGCGAACAGGAUUAGAUACCCUGGUAGUCCAUGCCGUAAACGAUGAUUACUCGAUGUUGGCGAUACACUGUCAGCGUCCAAGCGAAAGCGUUAAGUAAUCCACCUGGGGAGUACGCU
rnacentral:rRNA from 1 species